rnacentral:rRNA from 1 species
UACGGAGGGUGCGAGCGUUGUCCGGAAUCACUGGGCGUAAAGGGCGCGUAGGCGGCCUGAUAAGUAGGGGGUGAAAUCCUGCGGCUUAACCGCAGGGGCCUGCCUUCUAAACUGUCAGGCUAGAGCACAGUAGAGGCAGGUGGAAUUCCCGGUGUAGCGGUGGAAUGCGUAGAGAUCCGGGAAGAACACCAGUGGCGAAGGCGGCCCGCUGGGCAGUGGCUGACGCUGAAGCGCGACAGCGUGGGAGCAACAGG